rnacentral:rRNA from 1 species
GACGAACGCUGGCGGCGUGCUUAACACAUGCAAGUCGAACGGUAAGGCCCUUCGGGGUACACGAGUGGCGAACGGGUGAGUAACACGUGGUGAUCUGCCCUGCACUUCGGGAUAAGCCUGGGAAACAGGGUCUAAUACCGGAUAGGACCAUGGACUUCACGGUUUGUGGUGGAAAGCUUUUGCGGUGUGGGAUGGGCCCGCGGCCUAUCAGCUUGUUGGUGGGGUAAUGGCCUACCAAGGCGACGACGGGUAGCCGGCCUGAGAGGGUGUCCGGCCACACUGGGACUGAGAUACGGCCCAGACUCCUACGGGAGGCAGCAGUGGGGAAUAUUGCACAAUGGGCGCAAGCCUGAUGCAGCGACGCCGCGUGAGGGAUGACGGCC